rnacentral:lncRNA from 1 species
GGAGGGGGCGAUGGCACCGGGUCGUCCCCAGCAAGGGAACGAUCCCGGGCGAUGUGCGCACGCUCCCCGGGUUUGUUAGUUGAUUCCGUCGAAAAGUUUGCUAUUUAUAGGUCACACGCGGCCGCCGGGCGAAGGGAGAGCGGCCUGUCUCAGUGGCGUCCCGUGAUCGUUUUGUUUUGUUUCUGCCCUCGCGCGCGAGAAGACAGGGGGAGCCCCGAAACCAGCCCUCGCCGGAGCGGGAAGAGCGCCGCGCGCCGAGACCCCGGCUGCGAACACAGAUCAGCUGCUACCGGGUGUCCACAACCAGGGAGCUGA